GAACGCAUCUUGCGCCCUCUGGUAUUCCGGAGGGCAUGCCUGUCUGAGCGUCAAUAUAACAUCAAACAACAGUUUGGUCUUGGAAGAAGAGAUGGCAACGUCUCCCUUCUGUAAAUCAUUGAGCAGCGGUCCAAGCUAUGCGACGUAGUAAGCACAAAUCUCGUCGAACUGUAGCCUUGUGACUGUUUGCCAUAACCCAAAUAUAUCAUUGUUUGACCUCAGAUCAGGUAGGGAUACCCCCUGAACUUA
rnacentral:misc_RNA from 1 species